AUUGAACGCUGGCGGCAGGCCUAACACAUGCAAGUCGAGCGGAUGACGGGAGCUUGCUCUUUGAUUCAGCGGCGGACGGGUGAGUAAUGCCUAGGAAUCUGCCUGGUAGUGGGGGGCAACGUUUCGAAAGGAACGCUAAUACCGCAUACGUCCUACGGGAGAAAGCAGGGGACCUUCGGGCCUUGCGCUAUCAGACGAGCCUAGGUCGGAUUAGCUAGUAGGUGAGGUAAUGGCUCACCUAGGCGACGAUCCGUAACUGGUCUGAGAGGAUGAUCAGUCACACUGGAACUGAGACACGGUCCAGACUCCUACGGGAGGCAGCAGUGGGGAAUAUUGGACAAUGGGCGAAAGCCUGAUCCAGCCAUGCCGCGUGUGUGAAGAAGGUCUUCGGAUUGUAAAGCACUUUAAGUUGGGAGGAAGGGCAGUAAGUUAAUACCUUGCUGUUUUGACGUUACCGACAGAAUAAGCACCGGCUAACUCUGUGCCAGCCGCCGCCGUAAAAC
rnacentral:rRNA from 1 species